rnacentral:rRNA from 1 species
AACGAACGCUGGCGGCAGGCCUAACACAUGCAAGUCGAGCGAGAUCUUCGGGUCUAGCGGCUGACGGGGGUGUAACGCGUGGGAAUAUGCCCUUCUCCGCGGGAAAGUCCCGGGUCACUGAGGGUAAUACAGCAUACGUCCUUCGGAGGAAGGAUUUAACGGAGGAGGGUUAGCCCGCGAUGGUUUGGGUUGUUGGGGGGGUAACGGCCGACCAAGGAGACGCUCGCUAGCUGGUUUGAGAGGCUGGUCAGCCACACUGAGACUGUGACGCGGCCCGGACUCUUACGGAAGGCAGCCAUGGGGAAUCUUAGACAAUCGCGGCAGUCCUGAUCUACCCAUGCCGCGUGAGUGAUGAAGGCCUUAGAGUUGUAAAGCUCUUUCAGCCGGGAAUAUAAUGACGGUACCAACAGAAUAAGCCCCGGCUAACUCCGUG